UAUUAAGUAUACUAUUGUAACACUGGAAUGAUACAGAGAAGAUUAGCAUGGUCCUGGGGCAAGGAUGACACACAAAUUUGUGAAGUGUUCCAUAAUUUU
rnacentral:snRNA from 1 species